UAUUUUUUUUUAAAAGCCAGUUCUCUGCUCUUUGAUCUGCUGCCUUGGGAUUUCUGAGUGCUUUAUCUUUCCAUGUGACAGUCACCUGCCAGUGAUGAUUUCGGAAAUGAGCAUUUCUCUACGAGUAGGAAACACAGGCGACUUGAACUCACAAGAAAGAAGUCAUAAAGUAUAUUACUCUCUAUAAAAAAUGGAAGACCUAGUUAUAGAAAAGACACCAUUUUUGUGCCUUUCACUUGUUACCUUUCCCUGCUUCAGUAAAAGUUUCAGGUUGUCUUCUGACUGGAAAACAAAGAGUCAAAAAGUCCUGUGGCCUUUCUGCCCAUUACACUGCAAGGAAGACAAACCGCCUGGUCAUAGGACGAAUGUUGUCUUGGGUCACCAUCAAGAUCCUGACCUGCCUAGCUGAUGUGACACAAGGAAAGAGGUAUGUUGAU
ensembl:lncRNA